rnacentral:rRNA from 1 species
AUUGAACGCUGGCGGCAGGCCUAACACAUGCAAGUCGAACGGUAACAGGAAACAGCUUGCUGUUUCGCUGACGAGUGGCGGACGGGUGAGUAAUGUCUGGGAAACUGCCUGAUGGAGGGGGAUAACUACUGGAAACGGUAGCUAAUACCGCAUAACGUCGCAAGACCAAAGAGGGGGACCCUCGGGCCUCUUGCCAUCGGAUGUGCCCAGAUGGGAUUAGCUUGUUGGUGGGGUAACGGCUCACCAAGGCGACGAUCCCUAGCUGGUCUGAGAGGAUGACCAGCCACACUGGAACUGAGACACGGUCCAGACUCCUACGGGAGGCAGCAGUGGGGAAUAUUGCACAAUGGGCGCAAGCCUGAUGCAGCCAUGCCGCGUGUAUGAAGAAGGCCUUCGGGUUGUAAAGUACUUUCAGCGGGGAGGAAGGGAGUAAAGUUAAUACCUUUGCUCAUUGACGUUACCCGCAGAAGAAGCACCGGCUAACUCCGUGCCAGCAGCCGCGGUAAUACGGAGGGUGCAAGCGUUAAUCGGAAUUACUGGGCGUAAAGCGCACGCAGGCGGUUUGUUAAGUCAGAUGUGAAAUCCCCGGGCUCAACCUGGGAACUGCAUCUGAUACUGGCAAGCUUGAGUCUCGUAGAGGGGGGUAGAAUUCCAGGUGUAGCGGUGAAAUGCGUAGAGAUCUGGAGGAAUACCGGUGGCGAAGGCGGCCCCCUGGACGAAGACUGACGCUCAGGUGCGAAAGCGUGGGGAGCAAACAGGAUUAGAUACCCUGGUAGUCCACGCCGUAAACGAUGUCGACUUGGAGGUUGUGCCCUUGAGGCGUGGCUUCCGGAGCUAACGCGUUAAGUCGACCGCCUGGGGGGUACGGCCGCAAGGUUAAAACUCAAAUGAAUUGACGGGGGCCCGCACAAGCGGUGGAGCAUGUGGUUUAAUUCGAUGCAACGCGAAGAACCUUACCUGGUCUUGACAUCCACGGAAGUUUUCAGAGAUGAGAAUGUGCCUUCGGGAACCGUGAGACAGGUGCUGCAUGGCUGUCGUCAGCUCGUGUUGUGAAAUGUUGGGUUAAGUCCCGCAACGAGCGCAACCCUUAUCCUUUGUUGCCAGCGGUCCGGCCGGGAACUCAAAGGAGACUGCCAGUGAUAAACUGGAGGAAGGUGGGGAUGACGUCAAGUCAUCAUGGCCCUUACGACCAGGGCUACACACGUGCUACAAUGGCGCAUACAAAGAGAAGCGACCUCGCGAGAGCAAGCGGACCUCAUAAAGUGCGUCGUAGUCCGGAUUGGAGUCUGCAACUCGACUCCAUGAAGUCGGAAUCGCUAGUAAUCGUGGAUCAGAAUGCCACGGUGAAUACGUUCCCGGGCCU